ACGACUUAUGGGGUCAAAACUUCAGUUGUGUGUUCAUUAAAGGAAACAACGUGUCAGAAGGCCAGAAAAGCCUCAAUGCUACAAUAAAUUUUAAGAAUGCGUCGAGAAGUACAUUCCAGACUUCAUUAGAAACGUUGACUGCAAUUAUGAUGUACAAUUACACUAUAGAAAAUGGCGUGAAGUACGAGACGCAAGGUAAAACGAACGAAAGUUUUGAAGCCGCCCUUGUAUUCUCUGCUGAAGAUGGUUGCAAUAUAUUCUAUGCUCCCAAAGUUGACUCAAACGGGAAGAGUAGUGGAGGCUACGAACUAUGGGUGACUUCGCAACUUGUUAACUACGUACCACCCUGUUGCUACUUUUCCUUUAAAUAUUUGACAAAGGGUAUGCCGAUGUACGAAAUUUGGAAUCGCAGUUGCGAUAUCACAUAUCGUCCUUCGGAGGUUUAAUGCGGUCAGGACCAGCCUCAAAGGGUUCAUAUAUUGCAUAGAAGAAUGUGUUUUAUUGUGUUAUUCUCUGAUGGUCUCCUGAAGCCACCAUCGUACAUUGCAAAAAUUUAUCAUUAUUAGUGUUACAAAGCAAU